GACAGAGGUGCCAAGCGUUAGGCGGAAUCACUGGGCUUAAAGCGUGUGUAGGCGGCUCGUUUAGUACCUUGUGAAAUCCCACGGCUCAACCGUGGAAGUGCACUCGAAACUGCAUAGCUAGAGUCCUGGAGAGGAAGGUGGAAUGCUUGGUGUAGAGGUGAAAUUCGUAGAUAUCAAGCGGAACACCGGUGGCGAAGGCGGCCUUCUGGACAGUGACUGACGCUGAGACGCGAAAGCGUGGGGAGCAAACAGG
rnacentral:rRNA from 1 species